GACGAACGCUGGCGGCAUUCCUAACACAUGCAAGUCGAACGCUAUUUAUAGAGUGGCGCACGGGUGAGUAACGCGUGGGAACCUGCCUUUUUCUGCGGGAUAACGGUUGGAAACGACCGCUAAUACCGCAUACGCCCUGAGGGGGAAAGGUCCGCCGGAGAAAGAAGGGCCCGCGUCUGAUUAGUUAGUUGGUGGGGUAAUGGCCUACCAAGGCGACGAUCAGUAGCUGGUCUGAGAGGAUGAUCAGCCACACUGGGACUGAGACACGGCCCAGACUCCUACGGGAGGCAGCAGUGGGGAAUAUUGGACAAUGGGGGCAACCCUGAUCCAGCAAUGCCGCGUGUGUGAUGAAGGCCUUAGGGUUGUAAAGCACUUUCACUGGUGAAGAUGAUGACGGUAACCAGAGAAGAAGCCCCGGCUAACUUCGUGCCAGCAGCCGCGGUAAUACGAAGGGGGCGAGCGUUGUUCGGAAUUACUGGGCGUAAAGGGCGCGUAGGCGGUCUUUUAAGUUAGGCGUGAAAUCCCCGGGCUCAACCUGGGAACUGCGCUUAAAACUGAAAGACUAGAAAACCGGAAGAGGGUAGUGGGAAUUCCCAUUGUC
rnacentral:rRNA from 1 species